UGGGACUGCAGAGGUGUACUCUGCCAAAAUGGUUCCAGAAACCAUGGUUGUUAAGUGAAGCAAAAGAUUUAAAGAUAUCAGUGUAAAUUAAGGAAUUGGAUGAGAUGAUGAGAAAUUGGAUGCAGAUCAGUAGAUUUAUAUAGGUUUGAGGGGACAAUCAAUUGGUGAACAGUUCAUGCAUCCAACUUUCCUUCGUUUACCAAAUAAAAAAACAAAACAA